UACGUAGGGUGCGAGCGUUGUCCGGAAUUAUUGGGCGUAAAGGGCUCGUAGGCGGUCUGUUGCGUCAGGAGUGAAAACUCGGGGCUUAACCCCGAGCCUGCUUCUGAUACGGGCAGACUAGAGGUAUGCAGGGGAGAACGGAAUUCCGGGUGUAGCGGUGAAAUGCGCAGAUAUCAGGAGGAACACCGGUGGCGAAGGCGGGUCUCUGGGCCGAUACUGACGCUGAGGAGCGAAAGCGUGGGGAGCGAACAGG
rnacentral:rRNA from 1 species